AUUGAACGCUGGCGGCAUGCCUUACACAUGCAAGUCGAACGGCAGCACGGGGCAACCUGGUGGCGAGUGGCGAACGGGUGAGUAAUGCAUCGGAACGUACCUUUCAGUGGGGGAUAACGUAGCGAAAGUUACGCUAAUACCGCAUAUUCUGUGAGCAGGAAAGCAGGGGAUCGCAAGACCUUGCGCUGAUUGAGCGGCCGGUGUCAGAUUAGCUAGUUGGUGAGGUAAAGGCUCACCAAGGCGACGAUCUGUAGCGGGUCUGAGAGGAUGAUCCGCCACACUGGAACUGAGACACGGUCCAGACUCCUACGGGAGGCAGCAGUGGGGAAUUUUGGACAAUGGGGGCAACCCUGAUCCAGCCAUGCCGCGUGAGUGAAGAAGGCCUUCGGGUUGUAAAGCUCUUUCGGCCGGGAAGAAAUCGCACGGGCUAAUACCCUGUGUGGAUGACGGUACCGGAAUAAGAAGCACCAGCUAACUCCGUGCCAGCCGCCGCGGUAAAAC
rnacentral:rRNA from 1 species